rnacentral:rRNA from 1 species
UACAGAGGUCUCAAGCGUUUGUUCGGAUUCAUUGGGCGUAAAGGGUGCGUAGGUGGCGUCGUAAGUCGGGGUGUGAAAUUUCGGAGCUUAACUCCGAAACUGCAUUCGAUACUGCGGUGCUUGAGGACUGGAGAGGAGACUGGAAUUUACGGUGUAGCAGUGAAAUGCGUAGAGAUCGUAAGGAAGACCAGUGGCGAAGGCGGGUCUCUGGACAGUUC